rnacentral:ncRNA from 20 species
AAAUUGAAUACUGAAUAGGGUUGCAGAUGCAUUAAUAAGGAAUCCGGUGGGAAGCCGGAACAGCCCCGCUACUGUAUGAAGGACGAGUCCCUUAAAAGAUCCACUGGCUGGAGCCGGGAAGGCAAGGGAUGAGGAUGAUUUCGAGUCAGGAGACUUGCCCUGUUCAAAAAUCACGAA